GAUGAACGCUGGCGACGUGCCUAACACAUGCAAGUCGAGCGAGGAAAGAUAGCUUGCUAUCAAUCCUAGCGGCGGACGGGUGAGUAACGCGUGGGUAACCUGCCCUAUACACAUGGAUAACAUACCGAAAGGUAUGCUAAUACAAGAUGAAACAUUGAUAAGGCAUCUUAUUAAUGUCAAAGCCUUGGCGGUAUAGGAUGGGCCCGCGUCCCAUUAGUUAGUUGGUGAGGUAACGGCUCACCAAGGCCACGAUGGGUAGCCGACCUGAGAGGGUGAUCGGCCACACGGGAACUGAGACACGGGCCAGACUCCUACGGGAGGCAGCAGUGGGGAAUAUUGCACAAUGGGCGAAAGCCUGAUGCAGCAACGCCGCGUGAGCGAUGAAGGCCUUCGGGUCGUAAAGCUCUGUCCUCAAGGAAGAAUUUUGACGGUACUUGAGGAGGAAGCCCCGGCUAACUACGUGCCAGCCGCCGCGGUAACAC
rnacentral:rRNA from 1 species